rnacentral:rRNA from 1 species
UGGGGAAUUUUGGACAAUGGGGGAAACCCUGAUCCAGCCAUCCCGCGUGUGCGAUGAAGGCCCUCGGGUUGUAAAGCACUUUUGGUAGGAAAGAAACGUCAUGGGUUAAUACCCCGUGAAACUGACGGUACCUGCAGAAUAAGCACCGGCUAACUACGUGCCAGCAGCCGCGGUAAUACGUAGGGUGCAAGCGUUAAUCGGAAUUACUGGGCGUAAAGCGUGCGCAGGCGGUUCGGAAAGAAAGAUGUGAAAUCCCAGAGCUCAACUUUGGAACUGCAUUUUUAACUACCGGGCUAGAGUGUGUCAGAGGGAGGUGGAAUUCCGCGUGUAGCAGUGAAAUGCGUAGAUAUGCGGUGGAACACCGAUGGCGAAGGCAGCCUCCUGGGAUAACACUGACGCUCAUGCACGAAAGCGUGGGGAGCAAACAGG